rnacentral:rRNA from 1 species
AAAAGCUCGUAGUUAGAUUUCUGGCGGGAGUAACCGGUCCGUCCUUUGGAUGUGAACUAGUGUCGCUCUGGCCAUCCUUGGGGAGAACGUGUCUGGCAUUAGGUUGUCGGGUUCGGGAUCCCCAUCCUUUACUGUGAAAAAAUUAGAGUGUUUAAAGCAGGCUUAUGCCGUUGAAUACAUUAGCAUGGAAUAAUAAGAUAGGACCUUGGUGGUCUAUUUUGUUGGUUUGCACGCCAAGGUAAUGAUUAAUAGGGAUGGUUGGGGGUAUCCGUAUUUCGUAGUCAGAGGUGAAAUUCUUGGAUUUACGAAAGACGAACUACUGCGAAAGCAUUUACCAGGGAUGUUUUCAUUAAUCAAGAACGAAAGUUAGGGGAUCGAAGAUGAUUAGAUACCAUCGUAGUCUUAACCAUAAACUAUGCCGACUAGGGAUUGGCGGUCGUUACUGUUAUGACUCCGUCAGCACCUUAUGAGAAAUCAAAGUCUUUGGGUUCCGGGGGGAGUAUGGUCGCAAGGCUGAAAACUUAAAGAAUUGACGGAAGGCACCACCAGGAGUGGAGCCUGCGGCUUAAUUUGACUCAMMMCGGGAAAACUUACCAGGUCCAGACAUAGUAAGGAUUGACAGAUU